rnacentral:lncRNA from 1 species
GAGGGAAAUUUCCUAUGAAAAGUAACGGGCCAGCCCCACUUGAAAAGUUCUGUGCAGGGCUAUAGAAAUGGGAUACUUGUGUAUAGUAUUAAGUCUUUCCCAGCCUCCUGCACCUGGUCUUAUCCAGAGAAAACAGAUUGGAUUAGAAGUGUAAGUGGCAAAACUCAGAAUGAGAACGUGGGUCCUGUUCCUUACGUUGCCGUCGUGUUGCUCUUCUGCUUCCUUUUUGCAUGCCGUCCUGGUGGCCAUGCCUAGGAGCUGGACUUUCAUUGAAGCCCAAGAGGCCCUCCAGGACGGCGGGGAAAGACUGGGAGACGAGGAGAACCUGGUAAGUGUCACCAUGGGGCGUGUGCCUACGAGAUAACUAGAAUGUCCUUGAACUCUCUGAUAAAGUUGCCUUUUAUCUAAU